rnacentral:tRNA from 1 species
GCGGGAGUAAUUCAGCGGCAGAAUGUCACCUUCCCAAGGUGAACGUCGCGGGUUCGAUCCCCGUCUCCCGCUCCA